rnacentral:tRNA from 1 species
UAGAGCUAUCGGCUGUUAACCGAUCGGUCGUAGGUUCGAGUCCUACCUGCGGAG